CAUUAAAGAGUUCUAUAACUCCCAAACCCAUGUGAACAUACCUAACGUUGCCUCGGCAGGUCGCACCUACCUUGUAGCACCCUACCCUGUAGGGCCUACCCGGGAGGUGCGGGUAAGCCUGCCGGCGGCCCACCAAACUCUGUUUGAUAUUGAAUUCUGAACCUAUAACUAAAUAAGUUAAAACUUUCAACAACGGAUCUCUUGGUUCUGGCAUCGAUGAAGAACGCAGCGAAAUGCGAUAAGUAAUGUGAAUUGCAGAAUUCAGUGAAUCAUCGAAUCUUUGAACGCAUAUUGCGCCCAUUAGUAUUCUAGUGGGCAGGACCGUUCGAGCGUCAUUUCAACCCUUAAGCCUUCGUUGCUUAGUGUUGGGAGCCUACGGCAACGUAGCUCCUCAAAGUUAGUGGCGGAGUUGGUUCACACUCUAGACGUAGUAAUUUUUUAUCUCGCCUAUUAGUUGGACUAAUCCCCUGCCGUAAAACCCCCAAUUUAUCAAGGUUGACCUCGAAUCGGUUCAGACAAACUCGCUAAAUUGAAGCAUCUUAGUCAGCGAAGGAAAAGAAACCAACAGGGAUUGCCCUAGUAACGGCGAGUGAAGCGGCAACAGC
rnacentral:rRNA from 1 species